UUCACUUAGAUUGGAGUUGUUGUUCCAAUCUUAAAUAUCUAUCGUCAUCUAUCAAGAUGGAAUCUCUACAUACUCUACUUCUUGUUGACUGCAUGAAUCUUGAAAGAAUCACAUACAUCUCUAGGGAGAUGGAGAGUUUGUUAGUUUGAUAUGGUUGCGACAGCAUAUGGGCGAUACCACUGUCAAUAAGAUUUUUGACUGGCCUUAAGGUUUUGACCAUGGAAAUUAGAAAUAUUCUCAUGGAUGUAGAACAGGAGCUUGAAGAGUUUUUUUUCAAAAAAAAAAAUACAGCCAAGUAAAUAUAAGUGGUUCCAUCACUUAUUCAAGUUCUAAGGGCAGAUCGUUGCACGUCUUUGCAAAAGUUGGUGAUUUAUCAGAUAAAUAUAAGUGGUUGUUGAAGAUCUCAUACAAUGGCUGCUCCAAACUCAUAAUGGAUCAAGGGAGUGUAAGCAACCUUACUAAUCUCAAUCUGUUGAUGAAAUCUUUAAUAAUCAAGAAAUGUGUUGCUGUGAAUAGCAUCGUAGUUCCUGGAAGCAAACUUCCACGGUGGUUCAGCAACCAAAGGUUGGUGAUUAGACCCCCCUAAGUUUUCCUAAAAAACAGAACACUAGAAAGACAAGGUUAGCCAUAUGUUGUCUCUUUUGUUCUCCAAUGCUUAAAUCAUACCAUUUCCUCAAUAUCAAAUUCAAACUGUGUGGUGAAGAAAAAUUGAUUGAAAUUCCACUACCUCCUGCCACUGAAAGUGCAGACUUUGUGUGGAUUGGAUGUAUAUCAAUCGAUUUAGUUCAAAAUCUUUGUUAUGGUUUUGAUUCUGAAGAUCUUAUCAUAAGUUUGGACCUGCCCUUUAAGUCUUUAACGACAUCAUGGAAUGUGGGGUGUGUCUAGUAUACAAAGAUGAGAUCCAAUCGAUGCCGGGAGUUGGGUCAUGGAUCCCAGACUAUGACAGUACAAGAAUGGAUUUUAUGAAGCAUCGAAGAUUGUCCUUGUCAACCUUUCUAUUCAGUCAUGAAAAAACCGGAGACCACAAUACAGCUAUGGUGUUGCCGGUAUCUUUCUUAUGCCAUAUCUCUAGUACAAGAAACUUUGGUCCUUAACUGAUGAGCUGAUUAAUGAUUACUGUAACAUAACAAAUGAUAUAAUGCACUCGUAAUUAAACAUAUAUGCAGUUUUAUCA